AGAAAAUGUCUGCGCAGAAUAAGAAAAAUAGGGCACAACAGAAAUUUAGGCAUCGAAAGGGCCCAAUAAAUUUUGCAAGAAUACGUGCAAGAUUGGCUGCUUCUAAGGAAAAUAAUGAACCACCUACUCAAGCAGAAAUGUUUGUUGAGACUCGCCAAAGCACAAAGGGAAAAUCAUUGGAUGAAGACACUCUGGAUGUUAUAGCACAUUUGCAAGCUGAGAAUAAAAAGUCUAAAGAAUCAGCAAUUAGAGCUUUCCAAUCCAUAUUUGGGAAAGAGAAGGCAGGGAGAGUGCGAUGU